GGUGAAGCUUUUUAGGUGAAGCUUUGUGGGUGAAGCUUUUUAGGUGAAGCUUUUCGGGUGAAGCUUUUUUGGUGAAGCUUUUUGAAGGUGAAGCUUUUCGGGUGAAGCUUUUUGGGUGAAGCUUUUUUAGGUGAAGCUUUGAUGGUGAAGCUUUUGGGUGAAGCUUUUUAGGUGAAGCUUUUUAGGUGAAGCUUUGAUGGUGAAGCUUUUUGGGUGAAGCUUUUUAGGUGAAGCUUUGUGGGUGAAGCUUUGGAGGUGAAGCUUUUCGGGUGAAGCUUUUUUUGGAUGAAGCUUUGUUUUUUUUUUUUUUUUUUUUUUUUUUUUUUUUUUUUUUUUUUUUUUUUGGCGCUUGACACGGUCUUCAUUUGCU
rnacentral:lncRNA from 1 species